CUCGGAAUCGCCCAAUUCUGCUGAAAAAAUCUCGCCGAAAAACCACCAGGCCUGGAGCUUUGAGAAGACCAAUCUGAAAAUGAGCAUCACUAAUCUCCUGGUUGGUAAACAGUUAGCAUGUAACCGCCAUUCAUCUCAGUGCUUACUUUAGGCUGCACAAGAGAUAUUUUAGGCAAUGGGUCCACAUUACUGUCAUGAGCAUAAAGC
rnacentral:lncRNA from 1 species